UACGGAGGGUGCAAGCGUUAUCCGGAUUUACUGGGUUUAAAGGGUGCGUAGGUGGGUUUGUAAGUCAGUGGUGAAAUCUCCGGGCUUAACUCGGAAACUGCCAUUGAUACUAUAGAUCUUGAAUUAUCUGGAGGUAAGCGGAAUAUGUCAUGUAGCGGUGAAAUGCUUAGAUAUGACAUAGAACACCAAUUGCGAAGGCAGCUUACUACGGAUAUAUUGACACUGAGGCACGAAAGCGUGGGGAUCAAACAGG
rnacentral:rRNA from 1 species